UAUCAGUAUCGGCUUUUAGAUUUGAUAGGCAAACUGUCUCAUGAGUCAGCGGAUCUACAAAAGUACACUGCUGUUUGUUAUUAAG